AUUUUAGUAGUAAUAUUAUAGCUUAAAUAUUAAAAGUUAUAAUCUCUAAAUUUAAAGAAUUUGGCGGUAAUUUAGUCCAGUUAGAGGAACCUGUUGUAUAAACGAUACACCACGCAAAAUCUUACCUGAUUUCAGUUUGUAUACCGUCAUUAUUAGAUAACUUUUAAAAAAUAAGUUAUUAAAAUAAAUUUAUUUUAAUAUAUUAGAUCAAGGUGCAGCACAUAAUUAGGAAAUUAAUGGGUUACAAUAAAAUUUAUUUAUAACGGAUAUAAAAUUUAAAUAUUUUGUUCAAGGAGGAUUUAAUAGUAAACUUAGUUUAAUAAGCUAAUUUGAUAAAGGACCUAAAUUGUGUACAUAUCGCCCGUCACUUUCAUUACCAAAUGAAAUAAGUCGUAACAUAG
rnacentral:rRNA from 1 species